AUCCUUUUGUAGUUUAUAAGUGUGAUGAUUGAGUUUUCAUGCUCCUAUGUGAGAUGCGCCUCCCUUAAACCUUGUUACAAAACAGCAUAUUAUCUGACA